CCAAGAGAGCUUUAAAUCAAAUCUGUGCGGUGGCUACAUAAUUUCCUUGCUUAUUUUGAGAUCUGUUGUCCAAUGAGACCUCUGUUAUUUGGCUAUUUAAGACAGGGUUAUUUUCCAUCUCUACUUCUAUUUGGAAAAUGGAGGUGGUAAAAGGGCUGAGGCUGCACAAAGGGCAGUUGAGCAAGAAAGAGCAGCAUAUAUCAGCAUGUCUUGAUGGUGUCAGAAUGGGAUAGCUACCCUAGAUGCAUAUUAAAAUGCUAAACCAGGGAGCCUGGUUUAGCUCAACAGACAGAAGCACUGUAAUUGAACACCAAAUGUCUGCAAUUAAAGUAAGAUCGAAUCUCGCCAAGCUCAAGAUUGACUCAGCCUUCUAUCCUUUCUAAGGUGGAGCUGCGUAUACCAAGGGAUGUAGUAACCCUUCACCUUUGCCAGAUCAGGAAGAACAGGCAGGUGCAGAAACAGUCAUGAAAAGAGGAACGAACAGGAAGUUAGGUAUCUUGAACUUUGUCCUCCACUGUACCUGAAUACAUAGAUUGUCUCUGGUUUGUUGUGAGCUUUUAAAAGCGGUCAGAUUCAUGGAGGACCAGAGUAUCGUUGGGUACAAGUCCUCGUGCCUUCAUACUAUCUUCAGAAUCACAGGAGGCCCUUUUUAGAUGCCAGUGGAAUGCCACUUUGGGAACACCAGUAAAACCUUACAAACACAGAGAUAAAAGAGACCAGUGAUAAUGACUGAAAGAUAACAUCAACCAGACAUCAAAGUUACAAGUAGACAUUAAAGCAAGGAACAUCUGUGCCUCAAUAAAUAAGUCUUUUUUA